rnacentral:pre_miRNA from 11 species
GUCGUCCUCCUCUGGGACCUAUGGGCUUCCCUUUGUCAUCCUAUGCCUGGAGCUCGGAUAAGGCAGGGACAGCAAAGGGAUGCUCAACUGUCACCACCGAC